rnacentral:rRNA from 1 species
AUUGAACGCUGGCGGCAGGCCUAACACAUGCAAGUCGAGCGAGUGGCGGACGGGUGAGUAACGCGUGGUAACCUGCCUCAUAGCGGGGGAUAACUAUUGGAAACGAUAGCUAAUACCGCAUACCAUCAGAUGUGCCCAGAUGGGAUUAGCUUGUUGGUGGGGUAACGGCUCACCAAGGCGACGAUCCGUAACUGGUCUGAGAGGAUGAUCAGUCACACGGGAACUGAGACACGGUCCAGACUCCUACGGGAGGCAGCAGUGGGGAAUAUUGGACAAUGGGCGAAAGCCUGAUGCAGCCAUGCCGCGUGUGUGAAGAAGGUCUUCGGAUUGUAAAGCACUUUAAGUGGGGAGGCGUUACCAACAGAAUAAGCACCGGCUAACUUCGUGCCAGCCGCCGCGGUAAUUC